AGCAGCCGCGGUAAUUCCAGCUCCAAUAGCGUAUAUUAAAGUUGUUGCAGUUAAAAAGCUCGUAGUUGAAUUUCGGGAUCAAUACGUCGGUCGUGCUUCGGUACGUACUGGCGUAAUUGAUUUCUCCCUUCUGACGAACCAUGAUGUCAUUAACUUGGUGUCAUGGGAAAUCAGGACUGUUACUUUGAAAAAAUUAGAGUGUUUAAAGCAGGCUCACGCUUGAAUACAUUAGCAUGGAAUAAUGAAAUAGGACGUUCGAUCCUAUUUUGUUGGUUUUUAGGAUCAACGUAAUGAUUAAUAGGGAUAGUUGAGGGCAUUAGUAUUCAAUUGUCAGAGGUGAAAUUCUUGGAUUUAUUGAAGACUAACUACUGCGAAAGCAUUUGCCAAGGAUGUUUUCAUUAAUCAAGAACGAAAGUUAGGGGAUCGAAGACGAUCAGAUACCGUCGUAGUCUUAACCAUAAACUAUGCCGACUAGGGAUCGGAUGAUGUUAAUUUUUUAAUGACUCAUUCGGCGCCCUAC
rnacentral:misc_RNA from 1 species